UGAGGAAUAUUGGUCAAUGGGCGGAAGCCUGAACCAGCCAAGUAGCGUGCAGGAAGACGGCCCUAUGGGUUGUAAACUGCUUUUAUACGAGAAUAAUUUGAUGCACGUGUGCGUUAUUGCAUGUAUCGUAUGAAUAAGGACCGGCUAAUUCCGUGCCAGCAGCCGCGGUAAUACGGAAGGUCCAGGCGUUAUCCGGAUUUAUUGGGUUUAAAGGGAGUGUAGGCGGUUUGUUAAGCGUGUUGUGAAAUUUAGGUGCUCAACAUUUAACUUGCAGCGCGAACUGUCAGACUUGAGUACACGCAACGUAUGCGGAAUUCAUGGUGUAGCGGUGAAAUGCUUAGAUAUCAUGAAGAACUCCGAUUGCGAAGGCAGCAUACGGGAGUGUAACUGACGCUUAAGCUCGAAGGUGCGGGUAUCGAACAGGAUUAGAUACCCUGGUAGUCCGCACAGUAAACGAUGGAUGCCCGCUGUUAGCGCCUGGCGUUAGCGGCUAAGCGAAAGCAUUAAGCAUCCCACCUGGGGAGUACGCCGGCAACGGUG
rnacentral:rRNA from 1 species